CGGACGGGUGAGUAAUGUCUGGGAAACUGCCUGAUGGAGGGGGAUAGCUGGAAACGGUAGCUAAUACCGCAUAACGUCGCAAGACCAAAGAGGGGGACCUUCGGGCCUCUUGCCAUCGGAUGUGCCAGAUGGGAUUAGCUAGUAGGUGGGGUAACGGCUCACCUAGGCGACGAUCCCUAGCUGGUCUGAGAGGAUGACCAGCCACACUGGAACUGAGACACGGUCCAG
rnacentral:rRNA from 1 species